UCGAUGAUCCCUGAGUCAUGGAUUCAAGAAUUGAGUUAUGGUGGAAUUGAUUGUGGAUGGGCUCCUCAUGGACACUUAUUCUCUGCAUGAUGAAUCCCCAUCUCUGGAUUUUCAAACAUUUCCCAGCUUUUAUUCCCUCAAGUCUCCAGCUAAAUACUGCCCAUCCAGAGUAUCUUCCAAAAUGGACAUUCUUUUCCAAGGCAUCGGUGAAUAAGAAGUAUCACUGCAAGAACAAAACUGAGAAGAAUCACUCUAAAAUGCCACCACCGUUUUUU